GCAUCACUAAUGUAUCUAAACGUAGCAUAGUACAAAUUCGGAAAAUAAAAGGUGAACAAGUUUAGUUACUAGUAUUCAAAAAGGCUUUCGCCUAGGGCCCCUAAAAUGUAUGAUUUUUUCAGAGCCCCAAAUUUCAGAAAAUAAUUAGUAGUAGAGUGGUUUAAGUUUGCCAUUUAUUUGAUAAACUGAAAUCAGCAAGUGAAGAUAGUUUGAUUGCAUAUUGUACCAAUAUUCAAGCAGCUUUAAGGCAUGUAAAUCAUUCUGAUGUUAUUAGGGAUUAUUUGUGUUUGAACUGAUGGUUUUAAAAGAGUCGUUGCCAUUAGAUUACAAGAGACCUC
rnacentral:lncRNA from 1 species